rnacentral:rRNA from 1 species
GGACGAACGCUGGCGGCGUGCUCAUACAUGCAAGUCGAACGAGAAACUGACUUCGGUCAGUGGAAAGUGGCGGACGGGUGAGUAAAAUGUAGAGAAUCUGCCCUAGAGAGUGGGACAACAGAGGGAAACUUCUGCUAAUACCGCAUAUGCGCGUAGCUGAGAUGCUAUUCGUGAAAACUCCGGUGCUCUGGGAUGAGUCUGCAUCUGAUUAGCUAGUUGGCGGUGUAAUGGACCACCAAGGCGACGAUCAGUAGCUGGUUUGAGAGGAUGAUCAGCCACAAUGGGACUGAGACACGGCCCAUACUCCUACGGGAGGCAGCAGUAGGGAAUUUUGCGCAAUGGGGGAAACCCUGAACCGCAGCAACGCCGCGUGAUUGAAGAAGCCCUUCGGGGUGUAAAGAUCUGUCAGUGGGGACGAAACUUGACGGUACCCACAGAGGAAGCAUCGGCUAACUCCGUGCCAGCCGCGGC